UCUCUGUCUCUAUCUUUCUCCUGUCUCUGAUGUAAACUGCUUUUCAAAUGGAACAAAGUUAAUCCUUAUCGGUGAGUUUGAGUGGGUUUUUCUGAUUCAAAUAUGAGCAUCGGACACAACUUUGUCUCAGUCUCCCCGUCUAGUUAUCUCUCCAUCAGCCUCUGGCUGUCUGUUUGUAUGUUACUCUCAGACUCAUUCUCUCAGCUCCUGUGUCUCUCGCUCUAUCCACUCUUUCUCUGCCGUGCCUUGUCUCAGUCUCUGUCUGUCUCCCUGAUGUUUUUCUCUCUCUCUAUCUCUCUCUAUGGUUAAGGUUUUAAUACGCCCACCUGUCUCUGUGCUCCUCUGGUGUAAACUACUUUGCAGAUGGAACAAAGUUAAUUGUUCUCGGGAAAAAUGACAAAGUAAACCCACCCAACGUCUUCCUGUACGAUGCAUCCCACGACGAGCUGAGGACAGAGAAACGGGGAACAUUUGUGUGUCUUGUCUCCGAUUUUUACCCGGACGCAGUUCAGAUAGAGUGGGAAAUUAAUGAUGCGCUGGUUAAGAAUGAGGACAGCAGACCAAUUCACACCGAUUUAAAAUCCCUCAAGUCAAAAUCCAGCUCAACGUAUUCUGUGAGCAGUCGCCUCCGUCUCUCUGUAAACCACUGGGCUGAUGCCAAACUUAUAACCUGCCGCGUCACCCACUUUGGGGAAGGAACUACUAUAACGAAACACGAGGCAAAGGUGAAACCAAAAGGAGGGAUCUGUUACUCUCUGACAAAAGAUGAAAUGCAGGAGAGAAUGGUGACUGGAAAAUUGACCUAUCUCCUCCUAGUCUGUAAAAGUGUUCUCUAUGGCGUUAUGAUAUCCUUCAUUGCCUGGAAAACCAAGUCUCUUUCCAGGAAGCAAUUUGACUGAUUCCGAAUCGGUGAAGAUAUUCCACAAGAGACAGAGAGAAUAUCAUCAAAAAUAAACCACUUUUAGUUUAAAUAUUUCUUGGCCGGGGAUGGGUUAGAGCAGAGAGCUCUCGAGAGGGGGAGCGAGCAGUACUACGAUGGGGGAGAUAGAGAGAGAGAGAUAGCACUUGGGGUUAGAAUAGAGAGCUUCAGUUUGGGGGGAAUGAGCACCAUUAAGUGCUCAAGCUGGAGGGAGAUGGUUGGGGUUAGAGUAGAGAACUCCAGUGUGGUGACAUGUGGGUGUGGUAUGACCUUUACUGCACAUAACAAAUCUUUCGCUAUUGUAACGUACAAUUUACCGACUUGCACCGAGUAAGUGCUUCCAUGUAGCGACGUAGUUCCUUCGUUUAUUAAAUUCUGAUUUUUAUUCGCA